rnacentral:lncRNA from 1 species
CAUGCUCUAAAAAAGUUGUCAUCUGCUGUCCCGUUCAUGUCCUUUAUCAUAUCGACCCAGGUGGAUAGCUGUGCUGAUUUGGCAUUCUCCAGGCCAUACAUUUCAAUGAUGGUGUGGUUGACGUCCUGAUCUACCACGUAUGGCACCGGCCGCCCCCUGUUUGGAAGAUUCUAGAUCCUCUUCACACUGUUUGCAUCCACGGCGAUCUUGCCCCUCUCUGGGAAUACCAUCUCGCAGGAGUCGGCGUGGUAGCACGACAUGAGAUACUUGGUCAUUUUAUCAGACAUGGUUGCUGGGACGUAUGUUAGCCCCCAAAACCAUAAUCCUCAAUGACUUUGAUUUGAUUGUCGUUGAGCAACUCAUUCAGCUUGAAAAGCCUGUAGGGCGAGGCCCGAUUCCUACCACGCUGUGGAGACGUAAAGAAAAAAAUGGAUGUUGUUAGAACAUUCUAAUAAACAACAGAUAAAAGUUCAUUUUGUGUUGGAAAAAGAAGGCUCUAUUGAGUUGGUUGCAAGGUCUGGUUUAUUAGUUGCCAGCUGUAGUGCAGUAGUUGCUAGAACUAGUGUAUUUAGUUGGCUAGUUCUAAGUAACCUAAAGUUGCCAGUCCUAUUAUCAAAAUGUUGAUAUCUCUUGUUUGAUUAGUUGCUAUCUCUAGUAUAUUAGUUCCCAUAUUAGUUGCUAGCUCUUACAAAAAAUGAUAUGCAUGUUCCCCAGGAAAAAAUGAAAGGUUGCUAGUGCUAACGAAAAAUGUUGCUAUAUCUAGUGCAGCAGUAGCUAGGGCUAGUUGGCUAGUUGCUAGGCAACUAAUAUUAGUUGCGUGUUCCUGUUAUGAAAAAUUAAGUAAAAUAAAAGUUGCCAGUCCUACUAUCAAAUGUUGCUAUCUCUUGUUUGAUUGGUUUGCUAUCUCUGGUAUAUUAGGUGCUAUCUCAUGCAUGUUCCCCCAAGUAAAAAAAGCAAAAAAAUUGCUAGUGCUAAGAAAAAAGUUGCUAUAUCUAGAUUGAUUAGUUGCUAGGGGGGUAGACUUGUGGUUUGCAUAAGGAAUCAUCGGCUCUAUUUACUAUUGAACAUUGCAUAACUGUAGUUUCUAAAGAAAAAAACUCAGUGGAAACAUAAAAAAAAUUGGAAAAAAUAGAUAAAAAAUAGCGGUCUUAGGUUGUUUUUCAGUUCUUACAUUCUUAGGGUCAGGGGCUCUAUCUCUGUCCCUUCUCUUUUCUUGCAAUCUGUUGCGCGGCUCCUUCUUCAACUUGCGGAUCUUGUUGUUCAACUUGCAGAUCUUGUUCUUGACCUUCCUCUGGUCCACCAGGUGGCUUCGUGCGCUUUGCAGCCUGUUUAUAGAAUCUGAAUCCUUUUGCCUGAAAAAGAUGACAUUAAUUUAGGUAAUUUAGAACUCCAGUAAAAAAAAGGUCGGUUGCUGGGUUUGCAGCAAAAGAAAUGUUUUGCGUAUACACUUGUGGAAAUUGCUACCCGCGCUUACCAAAUUUCAAGCAUGAGCACGUGCUGUCUCAACAGGCAGUUUGCUUCUGCUGCCUCCGGCAUCACCUUCACCGCCGGUGUCCAUAUUAUCGUCCCCGGGAGCCGUGGGCUGUAAAAAAAGACAAAAAAAAAGAGAGAAUUAGCAUUUGCAGAUAGGAUUGCCGAAAAAAAAAUGCUAGGAUGCUAUCAUUCCUGGAAGCUCAAACCUAUAGAAAAACCCAUAAUGACAUGAUGCUACUAGUAUAGAAGUGAAGUUGUGUAGGCUGUACCUGUGCAGUCUCAACAGCAGGUUGAGUGCGGCUGCCUCCACCAUCAUCUUCGCCAACGAUACCCGUGUCGUCGUCACCGGAAGCCAUUGGCUGUAGGAAAAACACAAUAACAUGUUAGAACAUAAACUAUUCCCCCCGGACCCAGUGCAGAACAAAUCCUUGUCACUGAAAAAAAAACAGGAUGAAUAUGUGAUUCACAUGUCCAAUGAAAAAAAAGAAAACCAUAUAGCAACUCUGAUAUUUUGCAACUAACCCACAAAACUAGGCAACCCAUAUAGAGCUAUUUUGCAACUCUAUGUUCAAUCUGAGCAACCAUAUAUAACAUCUUAACACUAUUUUGCAACCUAUGCAGAACUAUUUUUGCAACUACCCCCACAACUACUAGGCAACUCUAUGGUCCAUUUGAGCAACCAUAUAGCAAACUCAACUAUUUUGCAACACAUAUAGAACUUUUUUGCAACUAGUCCACAAAACUAGGCAACCCCCCAUGAUUCAUCUGAGCAACUAUGUAUAUCAUCUUAGGACUGUGUGUUCUUGCAACCCAUAUAGAACUGUUUGCAACUAACCCACAAAACUAGGCAACCCCGUAUGAUCCAUCUGAGCAACUAUGUAUAUCAUCUUAGAACUGGGUCUUCUUGCAACCCAUACAGAACUGUUUGCAACUAACCCACAGAACUAGGCAACUUUAUGUUCCAUCUGAGCAACCAUAUAUAGCAUCUUAGGAUUGGAUAUUUUGCAACCCAUAACUAUUUUGCAACUAACUUACAAAACUAGGCAUCUCUAUGUUCCAUCUGAGCAAGCAUAUAUAGCAUCUUAGGAUUGGGUAUUUUGCAACCCAUAAACUUUGCAACUAACCCACAAAACUAGGCAACCCCCAUGAUCCUUCUGAGCAACCAUAUUCGAAGCCGCCAAGUCAACCUAAUCAAUUUCGAAGCCUUUUGCAAAAAACAACCUAAUCGAUUCGAAAACCCCUGCAAAAUCAACCUAAUCAACCUAAAAUCAAGGGUAAAAUUAAUCUGAAAGCCCUAAUGAUCUCCCUGCAAAAUCAUCAACCUAAUCACCCCAACUCAAUUCGAAGCCGCUUCAUGCAAAACCAACCCAUCUCAUCUCAAAAAACCGGACAAAAUCCGCAAAUCCCGCUGCAUGCAAGCGCCCCUAAACCCCCGCAAUAGCUCAGCUCUUCCCGGGGCUAGGGGAUAACAACGGGAUGGCGCGGGGAGGCGAUGAACGGGGACAACUAUGGGGGGAGAACUACACGAGCACUACGCCGGCCUCACACACACACACACACACACACACACACACACACACACGUCGCCAUUUUGGGGGGUCAGACAAUGCCCGUGAGAAUGCCAUAU